ensembl:lncRNA
GGAUGCAUCAGCUGUAUCCUUCACGGCCCAACGUAUCCAAAGAUCCUUCACGGCCCAACGUAUCCCUCCCAAGAUUCAUUGCGCACUCAAUCAAUGGAGAUGGCGGAGAAUGGCGAUUUAAGUUUUGCAUUUAAAUGGAGCCAGCAGCAUACUGCUCGAUUUAUUCUAUUGAGAGGGGAGAACGAUGAGCUGUUCACCGGAGUGAAAUACUCGGAUUGCAAGUAUCCAGGGUCAGGAGAGGGGGUAGGUGGGAAACCAACUGCUGCCACUUGGCCCUGGUUUGUCCCCAUGGAUAAGGUAUUGGGACAGAGGCAUUCCACCAACCCCCCUGUCCUAAUUGCCUCCAUCCCUGAGAACACACCACGGCCAAGUACAGCAUUGGUGGAGGACAAGGAUCAGGAGGAGGAAAGACAGCGAGGGCCAAGGUCCAGAAAGAGGGACAGAGAGGAAGACAUGUUCCAGAGUCGCUCACUAUCUUCCGAAAAGGACUCAAGACUCACCUGUUCAGAGUCCACCUCGACUCUGCAUAGCCACCCUCCCCCUUCUGGCCACCAUUGUACACUGUGUUGUAUUGUAUUGUAUUAUAGUACUUAACUGUGUAGCAACUGCAGUAGCUGCUAUUAUGGCACAGGGAAUUGAUUAGCCUAGCGAUUGUGGUACUUGCACUUUGUUCUAUGAACAUCCUUUCUGUACCGACAGCGAUAUAUAGAUGCACUUCUUAUGACAAAUGUACUUAUUGUAAGUCGCUUUGGAUAAAAGCGUCUGCUAAAUGCCCUAAAUGUAAAAUGUAAAUGUUCCAGUUAAUAAAGAGGACAUGAGGCUACAAAGGGAGGAGAGAAGAGCCCAGGAGAGCAGGGAAAGAAUGGAUAGGUUUUUCUCAAUUUUGGAGCGUUUGGUGGACAAAUAACUUAUGUUCUUUUAUAUUUAACACAUUGUUUAUUAUUAUUUACAUAUUUAUUGAAACUAACUUAUUUAACUAUUUAUUAACUAACUAUUUAACUAACUUUUUUUGUAUUGACUAAUGUAGUCGUAUAUAACUUAUAAAACAUAUAUAAAAUAAAAC